rnacentral:rRNA from 1 species
CUGAUGUUAGCGGCGGACGGGUGAGUAACACGUGGGUAACCUACCUAUAAGACUGGGAUAACUCCGGGAAACCGGGGCUAAUACCGGAUAAUAUUUUGAACCGCAUGGUUCAAUAGUGAAAGACGGUUUCGGCUGUCACUUAUAGAUGGACCCGCGCCGUAUUAGCUAGUUGGUAAGGUAACGGCUUACCAAGGCGACGAUACGUAGCCGACCUGAGAGGGUGAUCGGCCACACUGGAACUGAGACACGGUCCAGACUCCUACGGGAGGCAGCAGCU